CAAACAACACACUAAGGAAAAACAUCAAGGAUACUUUAAAUCUUCGAGGAAUCUUUAGGAUUGAUUUUGAUCUCUGUGAAUUUUAACUCGACUUUUUGUAAAGGUCAGAUUCACAAGCGAUUGGUGUGGUCUUGGCGAUAUAUAAUCCUCAAACAGGUGCCACAGCUAGAGGAUCUGGAAUGGUGUGUCAAAACCGCUGUAAAUCUAUCUGGGCUUUUUUUUUGUAGAAGGAUUUUUGUGUGGACUGCGUCAACACACAACGAAUGAAAGAAUUGUUCUAUAACAAUUAUCAGUAUAUCAAACACAACAGAUUGUAUCGUACACAAGUCUGGUGUGGACAUAUCAGUGAAAUUCAAAACACUUCCAGUAUUACCGGUCCAUAUGGUUUAAACAGUUGUGUGACCCUGAUUCGAAGAUAGGACUAUCGGAGAACGAUUUCCAGUAAUUACCUUCCCUUUCAUCGAGGUUUUAUGGACGCUUAUCAUCUGAUCGUUUGGAUGUUGUGAUCAAGUUUCGUAUCGAUUGCUGACGAACGUUCCAUUUAAUCCUGAGGUGCGAUUCAAUUUAGCCUAAAUUGAUUCGUAUAUUGGAGAUCCGAAUUACGUUAAGUAAAGAAUUUCACACAGAGUUAUCAACCAAUUCCGGCAAGGACUGGUGCAUUAUGCAAAAGGAAGACAUGCUGGUUAUAAGUAUCUGUUACAAUAUGAAGCUGCGGUGUUGCCUUUGAAAAUCAUAUUGUGUUACAGUGGAAGUUGUUUAGAGAAUCACGUGACUUUGGUAAGAAGACAAUUUGAUGAAGGGAAGAGGACCACGCGAUGUUGUUUAAAAGGUCAUGCGAUGUUUCGCUAGACAUUAAUUGUUGUUUAGAGAUAUCAGUGUGGUGUUGUAAAGAGGUGUGUCCCUGAUGGAAUUGAAGGAAUGAAUCCGAAAUGUUUUCGACACCCUCUAAUUUGCUUUACAACAAUGAGGAUAUGUGGUAUUCCGAUGUUCGAUCAUUUAACACACUUAAUGAUUUGCGAUUUAAAAUGAAGUUGACAGUAUUUUAAAAUUGCAUGCCUUUAUAUAAAUGCAUUUAUUGCACUGCAUUUCAAUACAAACAAAAUUAAAGUGUAUUUGAAUGGCACGGCGAACGAACAAAUAUAGACCACAAAAGUAGUCUGAUUGCUGGUACAUAACGACAUUGUGUACUUUCACGUGAGGAAGUGUCGCCUUUAAAAUGGAUUAAAAAUCAGUCAAUGUACGAUAAUAUUGUCAAUGCUCAGAUAGGUUUUGCUUUAACUCAUGAACAAAUCGGACUGAAAAAAAAACAUUAGGGUACUAUGUAGUUUUAGAGUUAAUUCCCAGUACUGACCAUGGUUCGUGCUUUACAAAACUUCCGAAUGGAAACCAUCUAAACAGGUUUACCAACCGAAUUACUUGUUGAGAAAUUACUGUGGUGCGAAUAACGUGGCGGGUGUGAGAUAGAUAUGACACAUAUUCACUAAGACCAAUUACAUUCCAAUAAACUGUCUACACAAAAAGGCCUGGUGUGUCUGGCUGUUGUGUUUAUGGCAGUCUAAAACGGUUUGUAAAGGCGUAAUUGAAUAUACAAUUAUCACUACGGAAUUAUCAGUCGGAAUCAUAUAGCCCUAUUGGUAACUGUAAAGGAGAAAGUGUUCAAAGGCUGUGUCUAAUUUCCUGUGAACAGUACAUUGUUUUGUAUGUACAACUCACCACGUGCCAGAGUCACUGGUAGAUGGCAUCUUAGAGACUUCUGUGUAAAUCACCCAUGUUUAUUUGAGGAACUUAAAGUGGAAAUCAUGUGAAUGGAUAUAGAGUCCAAAACCUGUGUUUUUAAAAGUCUUUCUGGUGAAAACGUUCAUUUUAAAAUAACAGGGAAUGUGAUUAAUAUUGUGGAGGAAUAGUAGCUCGAGAGAUUACACAUAGGAGAAAUAACAGCUCGAGAGAUUACACAUAGGAGGAAUAACAGCUCGAGAGAUUACACAUAGGAGGAAUAGCAGCUCGAGAGAUUACACAUAGGAGGAAUAGCAGCUCGAGAGAUUUCACAUAGGAGGAAUAACAGCUCGAGAGAUUUCACAUAUGAGGAAUAGCAGCUCGAGAGAUUUCACAUAGGAGGAAUAACAGCUCGAGAGAUUUCACAUAGGAGGAAUAACAGCUCGAGAGAUUACACAUAGGAGGAAUAGUAGCUCGAGAGAUUACGCAUAGGAGGAAUAGCAGCUCGAGAGAUUACACAUAGGAGGAAUAGCAGCUCGAGAGAUUAUACAUAGGAGGAAUAGCAGCUCGAGAGAUUUCACAUAGGACGGAAUAGCAGCUCGAGAGAUUUCACAUAGGAGGAAUAGCAGCUCGAGAGAUUUCACAUAGGAGGGAAUAGCAGCUCGAGAGAUUACACAUAGGAAUGAUAACGUACUGUUUGUGUAUCGCAGUCUAUUCAAGACGGAUAUGGAAGUUCAUCGUUAGUGUCCCACACCUCGAUGUUUGACAUAGCUGAUUAUUAAUAGCGUUUUAUUUACCAACGUCCUGAACAUUUAAUUACUGUGAUGUAUGGAGACAUCAGGCGGAAGUAACUGGGGACUUGAUACCUAACAUAAACUGGGAUCGAAGACGCGUCUAUCAUCUAAUCUCACAUUACUUCCCUCUACAGCUAGUAGACGACAUCAAAGUUGCAAUGUCAGCUUCUGUAGCCAAACAUAAAAGGAUGAAGCUGCCAGCGCGGGAAGCAGGCCUGUCAUUUCAUCAGGCUAUACAACGUAUGAAGAGAGAGCGCAUGUGCCAAAGCGAAACGAUAAGUAAGGAAAAACGUCUAACUCUCCCCAGAAUCUCAUCUGAGAAACCCAUCAGACGAAAUCUUUCAAGCGAUGAACAAUCUGUGUCCUUUCAAGAGGUUGUAAGACGUAUGAAGUCAGAGAGACAGUUGAGUGCAGACUUUAACUCUAGUAAGGGUGGGGACACCGAGACAAAAUUGAAAAACGAUGAUGCCGUUCAUGUGAGCGGGAAAUCACAGUGCGAUGAUGUAGAAACGGACAGGUAAGAACAUGAAGCCUUGGGGUAUAGUUAUACCUCUGACAAACAAGGUACUAUUGGCUAUAUUUCUACCUCUUAAUUGCAUUCACCUCUGGGUUUGGGUAAAUUUCUACGGCUAGAACAUCAUACCCUAGUCUACCUCUGUUACAAUUCCUGUAGGAGAUAUAUUUAUGUAUAAACUUAAAAGGGUCUUCUUUUCUCAACAAAUCUGCUAGAUACAUUCUUGUUCUUCUUGUUCUUCUUGUUCUUGUUCUUCUUGUUCUUCUUGAUCUUGUUCUUGUUCAUCUUGAUCUUCUUAUAAGUUUCUUCUUCUUCUUCUCCUUCUUCUUCGUAAACUAUUAGGAUUAUGGUGGCUUGGUUGAGUGCGAGAUCGAACGGUAUUGGAGAUUUUCUUUGUGAAUUGAAGGCUGUGGAGGGUAAUUGAAGCCAGCGCAUAGUGUGUCUAUUUGGCAGCUUUUAUAUAGGUCCUAAGCUGAAGCAUGACAUUUUAGUUUGUAAGUUGGUUUGGUUGCCUCAUCUGACAUUUUUACAGGAUAUGCAUUCCAUAGAUCUGGUAGAUAGAGGGUGGUAGUGAUUAGUUUAAUGGAUACUAGCAUGAUGGAAGGGCAUAAGAUAUUACCUUUCUUAACAUGCUGUUGCAUUCAGAUCAACUUGUAGGUUUCCUGUGUCAGAAUAAACUGCUUAUAUUUCUGUUUAUGAAG